AUGAGAGGAAGCGGUAUGGACCUUUUAUGGAGAAUCUUAGCGGCUCUGAGCUUCGAUUGUUUUAAAGGUUCGGCGUCUUCACAGAGGUCUCCAGGCAAGCUGAGCUCCAGCCAGGCAGGUAGUCUGGAAAGCAGCUCCCUGACUGGCUCGCUCUCCCUGGGGCCAGACCUGCCUCACUGCCAGUGCUGCAUCUCCUACGAAGCCCGCCUGAAACGCCUGUCCUGCGGCCAUCUCUACUGUGACCCUUGCACAGACCAGAUCGUCAACCUGGCCUUUGAGGACAUCGAGGGCCUCUCUGAUUACCCCUGCCCCAUGUGCAAGUCCCUCCGCAAGCUAGGGGACCUGGGCCCCCCCUCUUAUGGGUACCUGGGGACCCCCUCCUUUGGGCCAUGUGGGACCCUAAAGCAACAGAUGGCUAAAGAGCAUGGGAGCAGGUGGGGGUAAAACUGAGGCAGUUUAUACUGUACAUCAAGGGGUGUGGGUAAAAAAAAAGCAUGUUGUCCCCUCUCCAGAUUAAAUAAUGUAGGAACUAUUUUGUCUUUUCAGUUAUGUCUUUAGUGUUUUGAUUUGAAUAUUUUAAUGCACUGCCUUACACUGAGAUUGUGAUCUGGUAACAUGUGGUGGGAAGUGGCUCUGUCUUUCUUCUUUGUGUAAUAUGGUGGUGGAAGUGAAACUAAUGGAAGUGCAUAACAUUACAGAUAAAGUCCAUUUGUGUGCCAUAACAUAAGUGGUUAUUGCAGGGUGAUUAAGCCAGAUCAAAGAUAAAUAUUAGAUGUUUGUGUCAGAAAGUUCUUUAUAUUUAUGUGUACUGAUUAUUAUUACUAGACAUUUGCACCUUAUUUUAUAUUUUGAGUGUACUUACAGCUUAUGCAUUUUAAUUUAACUGAAUUGUACAGUGCCAUACUAGUUUUAAAGUGUUCAAUAUCAUAUCGUAAAUAUUUAUUUUGCUAAAAAAUAAAGUUUGUGAAUUGUAUUACUCUGUUUGAAGACUUGAAUGAUUGCAGUACAUCAUCAUCUGGUCAUCUGGGGUCCACGGCAUGAAAAAUGUGUCUUCCAGAGCUUCCUGUCCUCCAUUGUGAUCUCUGGACUGACUCUUCUGCAGAACGGAAUAUGUUCCGGGAUUCAUCCGAUGGCAUUGAGGACUAUACUACCACAUCCGUCAUUGGCCUUCGUUAAUAAGUGCAUCGAUGAUGUUGUUCCCCACAGUGACUGUACGCACAUAUCCCAACCAGAAGCUAUGGAUUACAGGCAACAUCUGCACUGAGCUAAAGGCUAGAGCUGCCGCUUUCAAGGAGCGGGAGUCUAAUCUGGGUGCUUAUAAGAAAUCCUGCUACACCCUCCAAUGAACCAUCAAACAGGGAAAGCUUUAAUACAGGACUAAGAUCGAAUCCUACUACACCGGCUUUGACACUCGUUGGAGGUGGCAGGGCUUGCAAACUAUUACGGAUUAUGAAGGGAACCCCAGCCACGACCUGACGUGAGCAUACCAGAUGAGCUAAAUGACUUCUAUACUCGCUUCGAGGCAAGCAACACUGAACCAAUACUGAGGGCGCCAGCUGUUCCGGAGAACUGUGUGAUCCAUAGGUGACGUAAGACCUUUUUUAAACAGGUUAUCAUUGACAGAUUACCAGGACACAUACUCAGAACAUGUGCUGACCAGCUGGCAAGUGUCUUUACUGACAUUUUUGAUCUCUCCCUGACUCAGUCUGUAAUACAUGUUUCAAGCAGGCCACCAUAGUCCCUGUGCCCAAGAACGCAAAGGUAACCUGCCUAAAUGACUACCGCCCCGUAGAACUCACAUCUGUAGCCAUGAAAUGUUUUGAAAGGCUGGUCAUGGCUGAAAUCAACAUCAUCAUCAUCCCGGAAACCCUGGACCGACUCCAAUUCGCAUACUGCCCCAACAGAUUCACAGAUGAUGCAAUCUCUAUUGCACUCCACACUGCCCUUGACAAAAGGAUCACCUACGUGAGAAUGCUGUUCAUUGACUACAGCUCAGCGUUCAACACCUGCGCUGCAGGCAUCUUAUGUGACCCAGGAUUCACAGCUGUAAAGAAGUGUGGUGAUACAGACUGCUUGAUAGACAGCAACUUUGGUGUGGAGGUGGAGAUCCCUGUUUUGGAAGACUGAGUUUCCUGAAGGCAGUUGAUGCUUUAUCCUAUUUUGAAUUUCGAGGUCGAUGCUGCAGUCCUCUGAGAGGAUGCUGCCCAGGUAUUUGAAGGAUGGGACUAUUGCAAGUGAUUUGUGUUCAAUGGUGAAGACAGGCAUGGUGGGUGGAGGGCUAGAUCUCCAUUGGUAGACCACCUCUGUCUUGGUGGUGUUGAUAGACGGUCUCAUCCUGCUAUAGACCCUCACAGCUGCUACAAGGACAGACUGAAGGUCUUCCAGAGUGUGGCCACGAGCACAGUCAUCAGCAUACUGCAGCUCAAGUA
ensembl:lncRNA